AUGAACUAUAAUAUGCAAGGGAUGAACAAGACUAUUCCCGAGCUUUUCGCAAUGCUAAAAGCUGCAGAGGUAGAAAUCAAGAAGGAGCAUCAAGUGUUGAUGGUCAACAAGACCACUAGUUUCAAGAAAAAGGGCAAAGGGAAGAAGAAGGGGAACUUUAAGAAAAACAGCAAGCAAGUUGCUACUCAACAGAAGAAACCCAAGUCUGGACCUAAGCCUGAAAUUGAGUGCUUCUACUGCAAGCAGACUGGUCACUGGAAGCGGAACUGCCCCAAGUAUUUGGCGGAUAAGAAGGAUGGCAAAGUAAACAAAGGGACUACAGAAUAA
rnacentral:rRNA from 1 species